rnacentral:rRNA from 1 species
GAUGAACGCUGGCGGCGUGCCUAACACAUGCAAGUCGAACGAGAUGCGUAUCGGAAAGCUUCGGCCGGAAGAUACGUUAUCUAGUGGCGGACGGGUGAGUAACACGUGGGUAACCUGCCUUAUGGAGGGGGAUAACAGAGAGAAAUCACUGCUAGUACCGCAUAAGCACACAGUACCGCAUGGUACAGGGUGAAAAGAUUUAUCACCAUAAGAUGGACCCGCGUCUGAUUAGCCAGUUGGCAGGGUAAAAGCCUACCAAAGCAACGAUCAGUAGCCGAUCUGAGAGGAUGACCGGCCACAUUGGGACUGAGACACGGCCCAAACUCCUACGGGAGGCAGCAGUGGGGAAUAUUGCACAAUGGGGGAAACCCUGAUGCAGCGACGCCGCGUGAGUGAAGAAGUAUUUCGGUAUGUAAAGCUCUAUCAGCAGGGAAGAUAAUGACAGUACCUGACUAAGAAGCCCCGG